UACGUAGGCAGCGAGCGUUGUUCGGAGUUACUGGGCGUAAAGAGUGCGUAGGCGGCGUUCCAAGUUUGGUGUGAAAUCUCCCGGCUUAACUGGGAGGGUGCGCCGAAAACUGGGGUGCUAGAGUGCGGGAGAGGUAAGCGGAAUUCCUGGUGUAGCGGUGAAAUGCGUAGAUAUCGGGAGGAACACCGGCGGUGUAGACGGCUUACUGGACCGUGACUGACGCUGAGGCACGAAAGCGUGGGUAGCAAACAGG
rnacentral:rRNA from 1 species